rnacentral:lncRNA from 1 species
CCCUCUCUUCAAACGCUCACCUUUUCUUUUUUUAACAGAUGAUUGCUAAUGCCUGGUUCAUUGCUGUUUUUUCUGCAGUCUGUGAAUUGUCUUCCAUCCUGUGCUUCAUUCCAAAUGGACCAGACUCUGGGGAACAGUGCAGACUACUACUUUGUGUUGUCACCUAGUGUGCUGACAGGAUGAAGAAAAGUGUUUG